GAUGAACGCUAGCGAUAGGCCUAACACAUGCAAGUCGAGGGGCAGCACGGGAGAAGCAAUACAACUGGUGGCGACCGGCGCACGGGUGAGUAACGCGUAUGUAAUCUACCUACAACAGGGGGAUAACCCGGAGAAAUCCGGACUAAUACCGCAUAAAACAGGGGUCCCGCCUGGGACUAUUUGUUAAAGAUUUAUCGGUUGUAGAUGAGCAUGCGUUCCAUUAGAUAGUUGGUAAGGUAACGGCUUACCAAGUCAGCGAUGGAUAGGGGAACUGAGAGGUUCGUCCCCCACAGUGGAACUGAGACACGGACCAGACUCCUACGGGAGGCAGCAGUGAGGAAUAUUGGUCAAUGGGCGAGAGCCUGAACCAGCCAAAUCGCGUGUAGGAAGACUGCCUUAUGGGUUGUAAACUUCUUUUACAGGGGAAUAAAAAGACAUACGAGUAUGUCAUUGCAUGUACCCUGUGAAUAAGCAUCGGCUAACUCCGUGCCAGCCGCCGCGGUAA
rnacentral:rRNA from 1 species